AUUGAACGCUGGCGGCAGGCCUAACACAUGCAAGUCGAGCGAGAGUCGCACGGGUGUGAGUUGUCUGGGAAACUGUCUGUUGGAGGGGGAUAUAACUUCGAAACGGUAUCUAAUAUCGCAUAUCCUAUGAUGUGCCCCGAUGGGAUUUGCUAGAGGGGGGGGUAUAGGCUCACCCAGGCGACGAUCCCUAGCUGGUCUGAGAGGAUGACCAGCCACACUGGAACUGAGACACGGUCCAGACUCCUACGGGAGGCAGCAGUGGGGAAUAUUGCGCAAUGGGCGCAAGCCUGAUGCAGCCAUGCCGCGUGUGUGAAGAAGGCCUUCGGGUUGUAAAGCACUUUCAGCGGGGAGGCGUUACCCGCAGAAGAAGCACCGGCUAACUCCGUGCCAGCAGCCGCGGUAAUAC
rnacentral:rRNA from 1 species